CACGGGGGGGAGCAAGCGUUGUUCGGAAUCACUGGGCGUAAAGGGAGUCUAGGCGGUCAGGUAAGUGGGAUGUGAAAUCCCUCGGCUCACCCGAGGACCUGCAUCCCAAACUGUCUGGCUUGAGUAUGGGAGAGGAUGAGGGAAUUCCUGGUGUAGCGGUGAAAUGCGUAGAUAUCUGGAGGAAUACCGGUGGCGAAGGCGGCAUCCUGGACCGGCAUUGACGCUGAGGAGCGAAAGCCAGGGGAGCAAAGCGGG
rnacentral:rRNA from 1 species